CACUAUUGGGAUAACAACUAUGGCAGCUAAUGAGACUCCUUUGUCCUCAAAUUUUUGUGCCUAAAUUUGAUCUUUCCGUUCUUCAGGACCCUUUUGAAUGUAUUUUAUGUUGAUGUACUUCAUACUUAUGCAAUCGGUACAACUGUAAGUCUUUGUUCUAUGAUAUGUGAUGUGCUUAUUUUUGAGACAUUAGAAUGAAUCUCUAUACUUGAAAAGAAAAGGUUUUUAUUAUUAUUAGCAACUGUGAACAUGAUUUCUAUCCAUUGGAGGAAUAUAGUUAUGUAUCUUGGAUAUCUCAUGGAUCCACCAACUUAUUCAAAUUCUUUGGAGGUAAUUUAGAUGCCAUGGACAUGCAUUUCAUCUCUUUCCUGCUUGCAUAUCUUUUGAAAUAAAUUAAUUGGAUUACUUCUGAUUUCCCAAGUAGUUUGGUUGAAGCUUACUUUGAAUAUGGUUGAUUCAAUUACUGUGGAGUUUAAUUAUAGUAAAUUUCUAAGAACCUAUCGGCCUAUCUUUCGAAUUUCACUUCAAGUAUUUGAUUUGUACAAAACGUUGAUGUGUGGUUUCUUAAUUGUAUUACCGUGAGAAUUCACCUUGUUAUUGGAAUACCUAGUACAAAAGUAGGUAAACAAUGGUUAUGAGUAAAAAUAGUAAUGAUUUUAUAUCCAGCAUAAACAAUGUGUGCGCCUUUUACCAUCCUGUACAUAAAAACAAUGUGAAGAAGAGGUCACUUACGGAAAUUCCAAAUUUUUUAUUAUUUCUCCUUUUUUUUUUCCCUUUUUGUUGAUUUUGUUCAUGCUAUAACCAACGGUUGGUUUAAAAUUUCAAGCAUUUAUAAUGUUAAUUUUGCAUGUUAAUAUUGCCCUUUUGAUAAUAAUCAUUUUAGACAAUUUCAUGUUAGUUUGUGAGACUGUUCUAUUUUGUAGGAAUGUGUUUUUUUUAUUUGUACUAUUCAUAAAUGAUUACUCAUUAAAUGCCAUUUAAAAAUUUCUUAUGUUUACCAGCCAAUGGUAGCAUAGGGUUAGCACUUAGCACUAGUUUCAACUUGGAAGAAUUUCCAUACAAGGAGUCAAGGAUUCUAGUUUCUUGUCAAGUUUUACUGUUGCAAUUAUGCAAGCAUUGUCCACUGUGAUACAAGUCUUCAAGCUUCAACUAAUAAUUUUUUUGGUUCCACAGUUCUUAACCUCUUACUGAGCCAGGUAAAACCUUAUAUCCAAGUAACUCAUAUUUUUUGUUUAAAUAAAUAAAUUCAUCUCUAGAUGGCUAUUCUCCUUGGUGGUUAAACUUUCUAACUUGCCUAACAUUAAUUAUCUAUCCCUUAAAAUUUCGUUCACUUAGAAGAAACAAAUUUUAGGAAAGAUGCAUCAGGUGUCAUCACAAUUACCUUUCUCAUCCUUGCUUCUACUUUUAGAUUUGAAAUAAUACAAAACAUCUCAUGCAACUAAUGUAUUGACAAACACUAUAUUUGUCCCUAACUUUUACAAGGGACAAAUCAAAUGUACUAUCUCAUCUGAAAAUGGAAAUGUUGACCAUUAACACAACAUGGAAGCUGUAUAUUAGUUCUCUUAUUUCUUAUCAUUGCUUUUCCUAAAUCUAAGGUCGUGACUUAUGGUGGUAAUGUAUUGAGGUCAUUGAUUGGAAACAACAAAAUGUGCAAGGAAUGCAUACAUUGGCAUAUUAGAAAUUUGUCUUUAGAUGUUAGCAUCAAUGAGUUCAUCCAAGAUUAUGCCUUUGACAGCCACUCAACUCCAAAAAUUAACUUAAUUGAUCUCACUCUCACCUACACACAUGCCAUAUUUGUUUUUGACAUAGAUACCUUGUUAGUAUUAUGGUGUGCACUCUUCUUAUAAAUUGAUGGUCAAUUACUUAAUCCUAAGCCACAACUUAGUAGAAAAGCUUUUUGUUUCCUACCAUGAGAAUAGAAUUGUCUUUCUUGAUAAAUGCCACAAGGGGGGAAUUCAGACCAAACUACCAUUGCACUUGAGAUGCAUCACUUGUUUGUAAUAAAUAAUUAUAGUAGCAACUUGAAUAACCAUAUAUUAUUUGAGAUGGAGAAAACUUAAGAUUUGGGGAUAAGAAAAAACACCAAUUGACAUUAUUUGAUUCAUCAGUCAUUAUCAUUAUAGACAGUACUAAGAAAGAUGGAGUGACAUAGCGGAUGCAGGAAGCAAUUGAUAGCGUUCUUGUUUGUUUUGUGUAGUCGGACACACACACACACACAUGUUUAUAUAUAGUACUUCCUGGACUUGCUUUGCAUACCACCAAAGCUGCUCCAAAUCCUCAUCAUGAGGACUAAACCUGUUGUGAGGUAAGCUGCAGAUAGUGCUUCUAUGAAGUCCAUACUCGUAAAGUUUGUGUUAUUUCUUCUUUCACCUUUUCAUUUUCAGCAAAGGUCAUCUGGGCUUUUAAAAUGCGGCAGACUCAAUUAUCUUGAAAUUAGUAGGAUUUUUUUUUUUUUUUUUUUUGAUGAUGGUAAUGAUUUAGAGGAUGAAAUGAGUUUUAUAGUCCUUGAAACCUUUUAUCUUUGAACUACAUGAUUUGUUCUUUGGGGAUUUUGUUUUCAAAAAAACUUCCUCCAUUCUUGAUUUUCCCUUUCUUUUUCUAAGUUUGUAAUAUUUUUCAGGGACAGUCCUAGAUGACCUGUCAAAUGUCAAUAUAGUUAAGCAUACAUACAAGGAUUUUGUGUUGUUAACUGUCUUAGACCUUCUUGUCCAAUAUAAUGUCUUAGAUAGAUGUUUGUAGCUUUUUGAUCCACUGCAUGUUUGGCUAACUUUUCUCCUUAGUUGAACUCUUCUCAUUCAGAGUUUCAAAUGUCAAGAUGAUGAUACUUCCACUGCAUGUUUGGCUAACUUUUCUCCUUGUUUGAACUCUUCUCAAUCAGAGUUUCAAAUGUCAAGAUGAUGAUACUUUAUACUAUCCUAUGGUGCUCCAUAAAUUUCUAAGAUUUAUCUGCUUCAUUUUUGCUUUAUAUUUCACUAUAAACAUGUUGACCAUUAGUUCUAUGGGGCAUGAAAAUUGCAUCAUUUAUGACUAAAAUUCCAUUUACGUAGACUCAAAUAUUACACACUUUUUUCUUUUCUUUUUUGAUUCGAUUGCAAUAUAAUUUUGCUGGGAGUUAGUCCCUUUAUGUGAAGAAUGGCAAUAUAAUUUUGCAGGUUUGUUUCUCUCUCUCUGCCCCCCAGGCUUUUGGACCCUAAAUGUUUCUUGCUCUUGAAUUUUCUAUUUGAAGAAGCUCCUCUAUGGUUGAUGUAAUCUUCCAUUGAAAUUCCCAAGUUAGAUGAAUUGUCUGAUGGUUCAGUUGGGAAUUCUACUACUCCAUCAAGGGCACCUAAAUCUGCUACCAGAAAAUUUAUGGCCAAUGAUUCUAUUCUUUAUGGCAGAUAACUCGAGGAAUUUGUUAAGCUUCAAAGCUUGGGACUGAAAUUGAGCAGUAGUUCCCAACUAGAGCCAUGCUUGACUCAUGUUUACGGUGGGUCUUAGCAUUGGAACGGAGAAAUAAUUUUAAAUUUGUAGGAGUUGGAAAAAACAAAACAAGUCAUCUUUAGUUUUUGUUGUAGUUAGAUUUUGAUUUUUGUCAAUGGAUAGCUAAUUAUGAUUUUGGGCCAGUUGAAUAUAAAACUACCCUGAUUUUAGUCAAUUGAUAACUAAUUAGUUGUAGUAUAUCAUGACAUAAGCUUCCACAAAUUCAAUGACACCAUUAGUCUCUCUUUCAUGAUCUGAUCUAUCA